UGUAGCUCAGUGGUAGAGCACUUGCCUAGUAGGUGUGAGGCCCUGGGUUCAAACCCUAGUA
rnacentral:tRNA from 1 species